GGCUCCAUAGCUCAGUGGUUAGAGCCCUGGUCUUGUCAAACAGGGGUCGUGAGUUCAAGUCUUACUGGGGCCU